rnacentral:SRP_RNA from 13 species
GCCGGGCGAGAUGGCACAUGCCUGUAGUCCCAGCUACUCGGGAGGCAGAGCGGGGAGGAUCGCUUGAGCCCAGGAGUUCUGGGCUGUAGUGCACUAUGCUGAUCAGGUAUCCACACUAAGUUCAGCAUCAGUAUGGUGACCUCCCUGGAGCAGAGUGCCACCAGGUUGCCUAAGGAGGGUGAACCUGCCCAUGUCGGAAACGGAGCAGAUCAAAACUCCCAUGCUGAUUAGUAGUGGGAUUGCACCUGUGAAUGGCCACUGCACUCCAGCCUGGGCAACAAGCAAGACCCCAUCUCUC